CCUACGGGAGGCAGCAGUGAGGAAUAUUGGUCAAUGGGCGCGAGCCUGAACCAGCCAAGUAGCGUGAAGGAUGACUGCCCUACGGGUUGUAAACUUCUUUUAUAAAGGAAUAAAGUGAGGCACGUGUGCCUUUUUGUAUGUACUUUAUGAGUAAGGAUCGUCUAACUCCGUGCCAGCAGCCGCGGUAAUACGGAGGAUCCGAGCGUUAUCCGGAUUUAGUGGGUUUAAAGGGAGCGUAGAUGGGCUGUUAAGUCAGUUGUGAAAGUUUGCGGCUCAACCUUAAAAUUGCAAGUGAUACUGGCAGUCUUGAGUAUAGUUGAGGUAGGCGGAAUUCGUGGUGUAGCGGUGAAAUGCUUAGAUAUCACGAAGAACUCCGAUUGCGAAGGCAGCUUACUAAACUGCCACUGACACUGAGGCUCGAAAGUGUGGGUAUCAAACAGGAUUAGAUACCCCAGUAGUC
rnacentral:rRNA from 1 species